rnacentral:sRNA from 2 species
AUUCUGCCCGUGCAGGGAAGGAUGAGAAGCUUCGACCAGGGUUCGAUUCGAGCGCAGCGAGAAAGCGUUGCCGCAGGCAACGACCCGAAGGGUGAGGCGCGAAGCGACGAAUAAUCCUUCCCCCGCCACCA